AUUGAACGCUGGCGGCAGGCCUAACACAUGCAAGUCGAGCGGAUGACGGGAGCUUGCUCCUUGAUUCAGCGGCGGACGGGUGAGUAAUGCCUAGGAAUCUGCCUGGUAGUGGGGGACAACGUUUCGAAAGGAACGCUAAUACCGCAUACGUCCUACGGGAGAAAGCAGGGGACCUUCGGGCCUUGCGCUAUCAGAUGAGCCUAGGUCGGAUUAGCUUGUUGGUGAGGUAAUGGCUCACCAAGGCGACGAUCCGUAACUGGUCUGAGAGGAUGAUCAGUCACACUGGAACUGGGACACGGUCCAGACUCCUACGGGAGGCAGCAGUGGGGAAUAUUGGACAAUGGCGAAAGCCUGAUCCAGCCAUGCCGCGUGUGUGAAGAAGGUCUUCGGAUUGUAAGGCACUUUAAGUUGGGAGGAAGGGCAGUAAGUUAAUACCUUGCUGUUUUGACGUUACCGACAGAAUAAGCACCGGCUAACUCUGUGCCAGCCGCCGCCGUAACAC
rnacentral:rRNA from 1 species